GGCCCGGCCCUAACGGUCUAUUUCAAGGUGACGUCACCUUCUAUAAAUAGCUGCGGCCACCGCCCCGCCCCAGAGUCGCGCAGGCGCCGUGCGAGUGCUGCAUUUUACCGCCGCAGAGGUGGAGGUGCGAGAGGGGAGACCCGGGGUGGGGACUGCGGGCCGGGCGGCGGGCCGCGCGCGGUCACAGAGGCCCCGCAGGCCGCGCGCUGUCGCGGCCCCAGCCAGAAAGGCGGCUCGGAGUUCAGGAUAGACGUCUGGCUUGAGGAGGGACCCGAAAGCAAAGACACUUAGUGCUUGAGAGAGCCAGGAGACCGCGUGCCCGAGGGGCGGGCGGACAGACGCGCGCCCGCCCAGCCUGGCGGUUGGGCUUCUGUGGGCCACACCCUGCGCGCUGGCCCGGCGGGGUGGGGUCCACUCUUCGGGGACGGCCCCACGCACAUUCACUCACGGGGUCCCCGCCCUGGGAGGUGGCCUUGUCCCUUUCACCACAGGAGGAGGGACUGAGAGGCCCCGCUGGAACAGGAAGCAUGGGUUCGAUCCCUGAUCCUGAAAGAUCCCACAUGCCAUAGAGCCAACUAAGCCUGCGUGCCACAGCUGUUGAGCUUGUGGCCUGGAGCCUGGGAAUUGCAACUGCUGAGCCCAUGUGCCCUGGAGCCUGUGCUCCGAAACAAGAGAAGCCCACACACGGCAGCCGGGGAGCAGCCCAGCUCAGCACCAGCAGAGAGAAGCCAGAGCAGCAACGAGGACCCAGUGCAGUCAGAACAGAAAUAAAUGUUGAAAGUUAUUUAAAAAGAAGGGGGAGAGAGGGACUGAGAGUGGGCCUUCUCUUUACCACCUGUAGAACUAGACUUGAACUGUGUAAAGUCCUAUAGAAUAGGAGAAAUCCUGGAAUGUCAGAGCCGGCAGGCCCCUUGGAUUCACCACUGUCUGACCCCGUAUCCUGCAGCAGGGGAGAGCGAAGUCUCAGGGAGGAGCGGUUGGCCCCAGUUUGCACAGCCAGCGGAGCCAGGGCCUCCGCACUAGGUCUUCUGCCUCCCAGGCUGCCUUCUUCCUGCUGUGAUGCUGCGGUGAGGACCCAUGACACAGCAGCUAGUGUAUGUCUGGAAGGAAGCGCCCACCCCAGGCUUCUCCAUGCCUUGAAGAGAAUUCUCCCUGGAAUUCUCCAAGCAAGAGUAGUGGGGUGGUUUGCUAUUCCCUUCUUCAGGGGAUCUUCCCAACCCAGGGAUCGAACCUGGUUCUCCUGCAUUGCAGGCAGACUCUUAACUGUCUGAGCCACCAGGGAAGCCCAGAGAGUGAGAGAUACUAGUUUAUCGUACAUCGUGGGCCCCAGGAGGACAGGUUCCUGUGAGAGGCAGGAGGAGGGCAAGCUCUGAGGGGUGCUUCCGUAGCUCCUCCCAGUCCUUAGCCGGAUCUGAGCCCUUCCGGCUUCCGAUCAUGUUGGACUGAGAGUGAUUUCAAAACAGUGAAAAUCAGGUAGACUGGGGCAUUCCAAGUAACUGAUGUUGACGUUCAUACAUGUCAAGUUGGGGGCGCUGGUACUCCCAUAAGGCGCUUUUCUUCUCCCAAAACAUCACUGUUUCCACCUCCCACCACCCCUCAAUCCUGGCUCCACACCCACUCCUCCACCUAGUUGGCCAGGGCUGUGGCCACCAGUCCAAGGUCCCUGCACAGUCCUCCCCUUCCCGGCCCUCUUUCCUGCACUUGGCACGGCUGCCCACCCCUCCUUAGCAGGCUCUCCUCUUAGCGCUCGUGGCCCUGCCUCUCCUGGCUCCUCUGUACUGCCCCAGCUGCCCCUCCUCUGUCUCCCGUGUGGGCUCGUCUUCUCAGCCUACACAGAAAUGCUAGGGCUUCUCAGAGCUCUGCCCAGGCCCUCUGCCCUAUCCCGGGUGACUUCAUCCCCACCCGCUCUUGAAAGGAAGGGAACUUCUUUCUACCCGAUUGCCAGCACUGGGCCAGGGGCUUUGCAGAGAUGGGCAUAUCUUUUCCCUCAAGAUAGUCCCUGUAAGGUCAGUAGGACCUCCAUCCCCAUCUAACAGAUGAGGAAAUUGGCUUGAAGAUAUUCCAUGACUUGAAUAAAAUCACACAGCUGGUAGUCAACAGACCCAGGAUUCAAGCUCAAAUCUAUCCACCUCCUGGGCCCGAUGGCCCCACAAUGUCUUGAGAAGGGGUCAAGGUGUGACUCCCCUUUUAGUGGUCAUUCAGAUUGUGAAAAGCACACAUAAGCCUCCCUCUUGUAGCCUACACACUUAGCAGCAUCCAUCUCCUUCACCCUCAGGAGAGAGCUGCCUGCUCCCUAAAGUCUUGUAAACAGAGACCAAGAUGACCACCUUAGACAGGUCACCUACUCCCAGAGCUCAAAGUCCCAUCAAGCAACAUUGCUUUUGAGCAAUUUCCGAGAGGGCCGCUGAACCUGGGGAUGGGGGCUGAUGAUCACGGUCAG
ensembl:lncRNA